CAGGAACGUGUAGCUGAAAAGACUCUGGAGCGGCUUAUCCAAUGAUCACUCUCACUCUCGGCAUUCCACACACCCAGAAUAUCUCUCCCUCCAUCCUCUACACCAGGGCUCAGCAAACUUUCUGUAAAGGGCCAGAUGCUUAAAUCCAACCUCUUCCUCAGAGCCUUCUUUAAGGACCCCAGAUUAAAGGGCCGUCUUCUUCGUCUAAGGGGCCCAGGUUCGGUGGCUGGUCAGAGAGCUAGAUCCGGCACGCUACAACUAGGAGCCCGCAUGCUACAACUAAAAAGAUUCUGACUGCCGCAACGAAGAUCCCGUGCGCAGCAAAGAAGAUCUCGCGCAUCGCAACGAACACCCAGUGCAGUCAAAUAAAUAAAUAAAUGUAUAAAUAAAUAUUAACAAUAUCUUUUAAAACACUAUGUUAAACAAAUGGAUGGCGAGCUAAGUGUUGGCUCUAUAUUAGGCACUGACUGAAAGCUUUCGUAUACAUUAAUACACUAAUAAUUA